AUUGAACGCUGGCGGCAGGCCUAACACAUGCAAGUCGAGCGGAUGAAGGGAGCUUGCUCCUGGAUUCAGCGGCGGGCGGGUGAGUAAUGCCUAGGAAUCUACCUGGUAGUGGGGGAUAACGUCCGGAAACGGGCGCUAAUACCGCAUACGUCCUGAGGGAGAAAGUGGGGGAUCUUCGGACCUCACGCUAUCAGAUGAGCCUAGGUCGGAUUAGCUAGUUGGUGGGGUAAAGGCCUACCAAGGCGACGAUCCGUAACUGGUCUGAGAGGAUGAUCAGUCACACUGGAACUGAGACACGGUCCAGACUCCUACGGGAGGCAGCAGUGGGGAAUAUUGGACAAUGGGCGAAAGCCUGAUCCAGCCAUGCCGCGUGUGUGAAGAAGGUCUUCGGAUUGUAAAGCACUUUAAGUUGGGAGGAAGGGCAGUAAGUUAAUACCUUGCUGUUUUGACGUUACCAACAGAAUAAGCACCGGCUAACUUCGUG
rnacentral:rRNA from 1 species